rnacentral:rRNA from 1 species
UACGGGGGGAGCAAGCGUUGUUCGGAUUUACUGGGCGUAAAGGGCGCGUAGGCGGCCAGCACAAGUCAGUUGUGAAAUCUCCGAGCUUAACUCGGAAAGGUCAACUGAUACUGUGCGGCUAGAGUGCGGAAGGGGCAACUGGAAUUCCCGGUGUAGCGGUGAAAUGCGCAGAUAUCGGGAGGAACACCAGUGGCGAAGGCGGCACUCUGGGCCGGAACUGACGCUGAGGAGCGAAAGCGUGGGGAGCGAACAGG